rnacentral:rRNA from 1 species
GAUGAACGCUAGCUACAGGCUUAACACAUGCAAGUCGAGGGGUAACAAGAGGAAAGCUUGCUUUUCUUGUUGACGACCGGCGCACGGGUGAGUAACGCGUAUCCAACCUGCCUAUAACUAGGGAAUAACCUUGCGAAAGUAAGGCUAAUACCCUAUGAUUUCCUUUGAUGACAUCAGAUUAGGAAUAAAGAUUUAUCGGUUAUAGAUGGGGAUGCGUCUGAUUAGCUUGUUGGCGGGGUAACGGCCCACCAAGGCAACGAUCAGUAGGGGUUUUGGGAGGAAGGGCACCCACAUUGGAACUGAGACACGGUACAAAGUCCUACGGGAGGCAGCAGUGAGGAAUAUUGGGCAAUGGGCGGAAGCCUGAACCAGCCAAGUAGCGUGCAGGAUGACGGCCCUAUGGGUUGUAAACUGCUUUUAUACAGGAAUAAAGUUAGCCACGUGUGGUUAUUUGUAGGUACUGUAUGAAUAAGGACCGGCUAAUUCCGUGCCAGCCGCCGCAGUAACAC